CAUGGAGUUAGUUCAUCUAUGGACUGCCUGUUUGCACUGCUUUGUAUCCUGAUUGGUUGUUUGAAAUCAAUGCCUUGCCAAAAAACAUUCCGUUAUCUGCAAAAGAUGAUAAUAUCCUGAAUUUCCUGCAGAAAAAAAAAAGCUGCUUGUUAGCACCAAUGCUAAUCUGAAAAAAUUGAUGCUAACACUCUGUGAAGUAGGAAAAAGAAAGAACUUGGGGAUUUUCCUAUCUCCUUUUACUUUUGGUUUCACUGGAAGCACCGUCCCACUCACCACUCGUGUCUGCACAGAGCAGAGCACUGUGUGUGCUGUCCCCAGGACCACGCUGCCUGCCAAGACCUCUGCCCACUGCCACCAGCACUGUAAGGAUGCUGCCAGCCCCACACCAGGGAUGGGACCACCAUCAUUUGGAGAGGAGAGGGGACAAGGAGACUUAAAAUGAGGAGAAAACAAUUGAGAUGAAAAAUUUCCUUCUACACGAUGUCCUGCCUGAUCAUGAACGUAUUUUUAUGGAGGUACCAGAGAACAGCAUAAAGAUUGGGGACAUAGUGCUUUUCAACAUGGAGUCCAGCAGCAGUACUUCGACCAUCUUCAAGCACGCAACUGUCUAUUGUGGGGAGGGGGAGGUCAUCCACUUCCGGAAUAUCGAAAAAUCAAGUAAAGGGCGAAUAAGCAAAGAAGGAUUCCUGAUUAUGAGACAUCAGAGGGGGAAAUGCAAGGUUCUCAGGAAAAGGGAGGGGUUCAACCAUGAGACGUUCAAGAAGAAAGUCAAGGAGCUGAUGAACAGCACAGCCAAUUACAACUUAGUGAACAACAACUGCAUCAACUUUGCUCUCUAUCUGCUGGAUGUGGGGGAUUUCAGCUUUCAGUCCCCAAAUAGCCAUGGAGAGGAACCUGUCCUCGCAAGAUUGACUCACAACGAGAUCGUCUGAGAGGUGCCCAGAGGCUCGUACCCCAGCACACACGCCCAGAGGAGCUUUGUCCCCACAAUUCAUCUUUCCACACGUCUGCUUCCUUCAAAAGAUGACCUUUCUGUAGGCGUUCCUUUCCAUCUUUUUGCACUGGAUCAUUUAAUAGUCGGCUCUCAGCACCCCCUGCACAGGGGUACAAAUACUAACCAGCUGCUGUAUUGACUAUUUCCACUUGAAGACUGCCUGUUUUCACUGCCUUACUCUGUGUUGUUCAAAUAAUCAUAACAUUCAGAGUAAUUUGCAAAUAAGAACUGCCUAUCAAUAAUAGUGCUUAUCUGUGUAUAACAAUUCUUAUCAGUGACUUCUUGUACUACUAAUAUCUAUAGCCAAAUAAUAGUAUCCAAGGUAAUGGUAUCUCAAGUAAUUACAAUAAACAAUUGCUAUUCUUCUUAUACUACUAAUAGCUAUAUGCAAAUAAUAGUAUCCCAGAUAAUAGCAUCUCAAAAAAUUAUAAUAAAAAAUAAUAACCCAAAGAG
ensembl:lncRNA